rnacentral:lncRNA from 1 species
CAGAAAUAAUAGCUUUUGUCUACCAAAGCUGCAGAGUCCUGUUGCCAGGCAACUCAGUCCUGAGGCAACAAAACAGAGAGGAACGGGUGUGUGGGAGGACCAAGCCUGAGUGCAAGAGCUGCUGCUUGUGCUGCUGAACUUUCCAGCUGGAGAUGCAUGUUAUGAAGAGCAAUAAGAGCUGUAGAAUGGGUACUGUAACGUCUUUACAAACAAGUUUUUGAAGUAAGAUGCUUCUAGCUCAGGAGAACAUUGAAGGCACAUUGAAAUCCUCCUGAAAACUCUAAGCCAGUUCUUAACUGCUCUUUGAAAUCAAGGCUGAGGUGAGUCUAAUUUUCAUGCAUCCUUUCUGAAAUCCCUCUCUUCCUUAUUCUUGCAAAUGAGCUGUCCUGCAGUAAAGUUGGUGGAAUGAUAAUUUUCAAGCCAAAGUUGGAGAGAAUUUGUUAGAAACAGGAAUUUGGAGUUCAGAAUCUCUGCCAGAGAUCUGAUGCAACGAGCGAUAUUCAUCCAACAGGGAAACUGUGCUAUGCAGAAUGUGUCUAGCUGAAUUUUACUCACAGCAAAGUGCUCUUGGAUCAGUUCCAAGGCAAUAAUUAUUGGAUACUGGG